rnacentral:rRNA from 1 species
UACGGAGGGUGCAAGCGUUAUCCGGAUUUACUGGGCGUAAAGAGCGCGCAGGCGGUCGUUCAAGUCGCGUGUGAAAGCCCCCGGCUCAACUGGGGAGGGUCACGCGAUACUGAUCGACUCGAAGGCAGGAGAGGGUAGUGGAAUUCCCGGUGUAGUGGUGAAAUGCGUAGAUAUUCGCAAGAACACCAGUGGCGAAGGCGGCUCACUGGCCCGGUACUGACGCUGAGGUGCGAAAGCGUGGGGAGCAAACAGG